rnacentral:rRNA from 1 species
UACGUAGGUGGCAAGCGUUAUCCGGAAUUACUGGGCGUAAAGCGCACGCAGGCGGCUCGUCAAGUUCGACGUGAAAGCUCCCGGCUUAACUGGGAGAGGUCGUUGAAAACUGAUGAGCUUGAGGCAAUGAGAGGGGUGUAGAAUUCCCGGUGUAGUGGUGGAAUGCGUAGAUAUCGGGAGGAAUACCAGUGGCGAAAGCGGCACCCUAGCGUUAGCCUGACGCUCAUGUGCGAAAGCGUGGGGAGCGAACGGGAUUAGAAACCCCAGUAGUCC